GACGAACGCUGGCGGCGUGCCUAAUACAUGCAAGUCGAGCGCAGGAAAUCAUCCGAACCCUUCGGGGGGACGUUGAUGGAAUGAGCGGCGGACGGGUGAGUAACACGUAAAGAACCUGCCCUCAGGUCUGGGAUAACCACGAGAAAUCGGGGCUAAUACCGGAUGGGUCAUCGGACCGCAUGGUCCGAGGAUGAAAGGCGCUUCGGCGUCGCCUGGGGAUGGCUUUGCGGUGCAUUAGCUAGCUGGUGGGGUAAUGGCCCACCAAGGCGACGAUGCAUAGCCGACCUGAGAGGGUGAUCGGCCACACUGGGACUGAGACACGGCCCAGACUCCUACGGGAGGCAGCAGUAGGGAAUCUUCCACAAUGGACGAAAGUCUGAUGGAGCAACGCCGCGUGAACGAUGAAGGCCUUCGGGUCGUAAAGUUCUGUUGUAAGGGAAGAACAAGUGCCGCAGGCAAUGGCGGCACCUUGACGGUACCUUGCGAGAAAGCCACGGCUAACUACGUGCCAGCCGCCGCGGUAA
rnacentral:rRNA from 1 species